rnacentral:rRNA from 1 species
GUAAUAAUAGUUAUGUUCUUUAAACCUAAAGAAUUUGGCGGUGUUUUAGUCUAUUUAGAGGAAUUUGUCCCUUAAUCGAUAAUCCUCGUUUUAUCUUUCUUGAUUUUGUAUUCAGUAUGUAUACCGCCGUUAUAAGUUUAUUUUUUUAGAAUUUUUAAUUUACUUUAAAAUUUAAUAUUUUAUAUUUCAGGUCAAGGUGCAGCUAAUAAUCAAGUGGUGAUGAAUUACAAUAUUAUAUAAAUAAACGAAUUUUUUAUUUAAAAUAAAUAUGAAGGUGGAUUUAAUAGUAAUUUUAAUUAUAAAGUUAUUUUGAUUUUAGCUCUAUAACAAGUACACAUCGCCCGAUCGCUCUA